rnacentral:rRNA from 1 species
ACAAGUUUCCGUAGGUGAACCUGCGGAAGGAUCAUUACCGAGUGAGGGCCCUCUGGGUCCAACCUCCCACCCGUGUUUAUUUUACCUUGUUGCUUCGGCGGGCCCGCCUUAACUGGCCGCCGGGGGGCUUACGCCCCCGGGCCCGCGCCCGCCGAAGACACCCUCGAACUCUGUCUGAAGAUUGUAGUCUGAGUGAAAAUAUAAAUUAUUUAAAACUUUCAACAACGGAUCUCUUGGUUCCGGCAUCGAUGAAGAACGCAGCGAAAUGCGAUACGUAAUGUGAAUUGCAAAUUCANGUGAAUCAUCGAGUCUUUGAACGCACAUUGCGCCCCCUGGUAUUCCGGGGGGCAUGCCUGUCCGAGCGUCAUUGCUGCCCUCAAGCACGGCUUGUGUGUUGGGCCCCGUCCUCCGAUCCCGGGGGACGGGCCCGAAAGGCAGCGGCGGCACCGCGUCCGGUCCUCGAGCGUAUGGGGCUUUGUCACCCGCUCUGUAGGCCCGGCCGGCGCUUGCCGAUCAACCCAAAUUUUUUCCAGGUUGACUCGGUCAGGUAGGGAUACCCGC